UAAACAAUGCAAAUGAAUGAUAGGACCUUUGUUUAUUAUUAAGUUCAAAGUGUUUGAUGGACUCUAUUUGUAGUGUACGAAAACGUACGGCAUGUACUCUGUGCGCAAGAAACUAAAGGCCUGUGCUGUCAAAUCUUAGUCAUACAAGUAAAUAAUAUCUCCACUUUCAGUUUCCGCCAAAUUACAAUUUCACUAGUCAAUCAUGACACUUGAACACACAUCUAAGAGAAGUCUGCUACAUUCUACCAUCUCGACAAGGUCCAUGCAUGUCGUUGUUUCAACCAAGAAUCUUAAACAUAGGUAACGGUUAAAAGUCAGUUUUGACACACAUUUUCUCUGAUCCUUGCGAAAUGGAGAAGCAACCCGUUAUAAUUGAUCUAAAGCACCAUUUGCAAUCUUUUAUGAACAAAAACUGACUUACCUUAAAUUUUCUAGCUUUGUGCAACCAGAGUCUCCAACGCGGCACCAAUGUCCACUACGUUCUAGUGUGUCCCCUCAAAAUAUAAUAAUGUUGAAGACUGUGAACAUAAUUUGGUGAAGCAUCAAUCAACGGAAUCCAAAAUGAAAUCUGUCAUGCAUCUAAGAAUUCUGUGUAUACCAAUCAUGUUAUGCCAAUAUUCAAAUACUUCACUUUCUUCAAAGAGAAAGAACAAUUUCCUUUACCAGAAUCAUAUGACUUUUCUUUUAUCAUACCAUAUAAUAAAGUGUAUAAUACGAUUUGAGGAUUAAGAGAAACACUAUAUUGUUGAACGAUAAUACCUGUUAAAUAUUUCAGUAUUUUAAUGAGAAAAAGGAGCUGAAAAGUAAAAUUGAUGAAAUUGUUCUUGGGCAUACCUCAUACUUCCCCGCAUAGCUUUUAAGUCUUAAGGUGCAGUUAGUAGUGGACAUACAUUUUGUCUUUGUAUAACAAUAACCUUCUAGCUUCAUCUCAUGAACAGAAUUUGAUGGCUCGAUCCACGGAUACCCCUUACUACCUUGACCAAAGUACCUGAGCAGAUAUUUUAUCAAAACAUACCUGUACAUUAAAAAAUAGUUUCACUUGGGCAAAUGAGCGACUGUGAAAUCAAUUAUUAUUACUUAAUAGUUGUUGGUAUCCCCGUUAUGAAGAGUAAAAUGUUGAGAGAUUAUGUAGUCUUCAACAAAACAACGGAGUGCAAAGUGGUUCCUCUGUCGUAAUAACCAACCCUGUUAAACAGUAAAAUUGUGUCAUGAGAAAAAAAGGAGUGCAAAGAAAAACUUGUUACAACAUUCUAAAUGAAAGUUUACCUAAUGUAAUUGGCGCCGAUGGAUUUUUACUUGAAAUGCCUCAGCAACCUUCUAGCAUGACCUAGAAACUAAUAACCAAUGAGAAAAAACACACAUAAAUAUUCAUGAUUAAACCAUAUCUUAAAAGUAAGAUAGAUAUUCAUAAAUUUGUCUGGAAAACUAUAAAAUGGGAAUGGAGGAGAGUAACUCUUGGAAAAUAAUAAUUACAAGUGUGACUUAGAAACUGAAAGAGAAACAGAGACUUACGCCAAGUCCUGAAUUCUGCUUCCACCUACUUUAAUUAUUGGAAUAUGGGAAAUGUUGGACCAUUGGGAGUUUGGGCCACUCCGAUUUGUGCAACUUUCUUCUAACUUUGGGCAGCCUUUAAUUUCCAGGUUCCGUAAUUUGGUGAGGCGUCGCAUGGCAUCUCUGGAUGGCAUAUGCUUUAGAUUCUCGCAAUUCUGUAAAAAUAACUCUUGCAAAGAAACAAGGUCACCAAGCCCAUUCGACAGAGCUUCUAACAAUGGCCAAUCAUGGAUCAUCAGAUAUCCUAAUUUGGUGAGGCGUCGCAUGGCAUCACUAGAUGGAAGAUGCUCUAGUUUCUCGCAUUUCUGUAAAACUAACUUUUGCAAAGAAACAAGGUUGCUGAGUCCAUCCGAUAGAUCUUCUAACAAUGGACAAUCAUUUAUCCCCAAAUAUCGUAAUUUGGGCAUGGCAUCUGAGAAGUCCAUAUGUUGUAGCCGUUUGCACCCCACUAGUGUUAAUCUUUCAAGAGAAGUAAGGUUGGCAAAUCUAUGAGGAAGAGCCUCGAUUCCGAAUCCAUACAUUUUUAUAUCUGUUAGAUUAGAGAGUUGCGUAAGCUGAUAGGGCAGUGAAUCCCAGUGCAAGUGUCCCCACACCCCCAAUGUACGAAGGGACGACAGCUGCUGAAUGCCAUUAAAUAUCAAUUGGAAUGCCUCAAAAUCCACCAUAUCUGAGAAAGGACCAAUUUCCAAAUGACGUAACCCAGUGAGACGGUGAAGGCCGCUUGUGGGUACACAAAUCAACUUGGGACAGUGUGAUAGACCCAAAUAUGAAAGUGAAUGCAUUUCCCCCACAUGUAAAGGGAAGGAAACCAAGUCGUUACAUUUGUAGACACUCAAGGAUUCCAGAGACCGACAAUGCUCUAGCAUUCCACUUGGUAAAUUGGUCAAUCCAUCACAAUUCUGUAACUCAAGACUUUGGAGGGAAGUCAAAUAAUUCUCUCCACUAAGAACAGGAAAGGAACUGAAAUUGGGGCAGCUUCUAAUCCAUAAUCUCUUAAGAGAAUGGAGAUUGUACAAGCUCUUUGGCAAUUCAUGAAACUCUCCGCAUUUUUCAACCGAUAGGUGUUGAAGAGAAACGUUGUUGCGUAGCAUCUCAUCUGGAAAACAAGUGAGCUUUUUCACACCAUAGACACUAAGCUUUACGAGAGAUGUCAAGUUGCUGCACAAGUUCAACAAUGGCAUUUCACUGUCAACUUCGACAAUCACUAAUUCACUUAGGAUUUCAAAUUGAAUCGGAGUACUUUUUAACAAUUGACAGUUCGCAAUCCUCAACUUCUCAAGCUUAGGAAACAUUCUUACCCCACUUGUUGUUGGUAUCAAUUCCACUCCCUUCCACUCAAUAAGGCUACACAUAUCCUCCAAUAUAAGUUCUUUCAAUGACGGGAACACUUGGAUUUUGCUGCAUGAUCCAUUAUCAUUAACCUCAACACCAUAAAAUGUAGGCCCGAUGAAUUCCAAUUCAGGGAAUCCUAUCAGCUCAAGAUGCCGAAGGAACUUCAGUUGGCCAAGCGAUGGAAUUUCUUUGCACCUAUUGCAUUCACUUAAUUUUAACUUGACCAAAUUUGGUAGGGACUCUUCACUGAACCAUGAAGGAAAUCUAGUACCCAAAUAGUCCUUCACCAGUAAGAAUUUCAAGUUAGGAUGCGGUUGAAGACCAUCCAACACAUGCUCAUCAAUGGUUUCACAACCUUCUGGUUCAUCACGUAACCACCCAUAUGACAGCUUGUAAAUAUUCGAUUUCUCUUGUAAAUAUGCUGUUCGAGCUUCUUCUCUACUACGGACCAAAUGGAGAUCAUUGAUCCUCAAUUUACCUCUAAGCUUCUUCAAACAACCUAAUUCUUCUAUUCGGCGACCUUUCUCCAAACCCACAUUAAAAUAUCGUAGGGUCUGAAGACAAGUCAAUUGUCCCAUGUUAAGCGGCAUCUGAUACCAAGAAUGGCAAUAUAUGUGUCUCAAACUUAUCAUAUUCCCCAUCUCAAAUGGAAGUUCAUGGAGUAAAUAGCAACCAUUGACUCUAAAUGUUUGCAAAUUAUAGAGCUCGCAAAUGGAGUUGGGCAAGGCUCUGAUCUCAGUGUUCGAGAGAUCAAGAUAUCUCAAGUGUAUACACUUCCCAAUUUUGGCUGACAACUCUUUGAUUCCUGAACUGGACAAAUUUAAAACUCUCAAGAACUUGAAGCUCAACAACAUAUCUUCCGAUAUAUAAAUGCUUCUCCAAAACAGAGUGCACAAACGUCCUGGCUCAGUUAUCUUAUCUAUUUGAUCACUUGGUGAGUCCCAUCCAAAGUAUCGCACUUGAGAAAGAUUUUCUCCACCAUUGUCCUUUGGAUCAAAUAGUUUAUAUUUUAAGAUAUCCCCAGCCAAAUCAUGCACAAGAUCGUGCAUCUUACAGUGUGUUAUAUUGUUGUGCUUAUCUAACUUAACAUCUUGCAGCAAGGAAUUUCGCAACAAGAGUUGAAAGAACUUAUUCCCGAUGUCUUCCAUUACGGUGGUCUCUUGACAUGGAUGAAGAAGCCUUCUGCCAUCCAGAGUUGGAUUAUUUGGUCCUUUUCAAACUCGAAAUCUUUUGGAAACAUUGCAAAGUAAGCAAAGCAUUUUUUCAGAUGUGGAGAUGGUAGAUAAUCAUAGCUGAGUUUUAGUAUUUUCCUUAUGCUAUUUUCUCCGUUAUCAUCUUCACCUGCAACAAGGGGGUUUCCAUCAAGAAUUGCCUGCCAUUCAUGUUUUUCCUUGUUGCGUAAGAGGCCUCCCAACACACUUGCAGCCAACGGUAGACCUUGACACAUUUCCACAAUCCUGUUCUCCAUGCACACUAUUUCCUCUGGAAUUUCCCCAUCAACAAACGCUCUUUGUUUGAAAAUGGACCAACAAUGAGCUUCUGCUAAUUUUUCCAACCUAUGAGGACCUACUGCUGCUACUGUGGAUGCCACCUGUUCCAUACGAGUAGUCACAAGAAUGAAGUUUCCUCGGGAUGUAUUUAUUCCUCGCAAGGUGUCGACAAACUCUACCCACAAUGUAGAGUCAACACGCCAUAAAUCAUCCAGAACAAGUAAAUACUUUCUUCCUGCCAGUUCAUCUUGUAGCGUCUUGACUAUUAUGUCUCUGCUUUGGACCUCAACUUUCCUCUUUGUCAGGGAUUCGAGGAUUAGUUGAAGAAAGCUCUUCGUUUCUGACAUUUCAGGCAGGCACAACCAAACUCUCUUUUCAAAGUGUUUCUCGAUCUGUUCAUCGUUGAAAAUUCUCUUAGCCAUAGUUGUUUUCCCUAAACCCCCCAUACCAGCUAUGGGAAUGGUGCACAGAACAACAUCCUCUCUGAUGUUCAACAUCUUCCUCUUUAUUCUGCAACAUCGUUGUCUCUACCAACAACCUCCGAAGCAACUACUACAGAAUCUGUUUCUCGAAUUGGUAGUAUAUGCCGAGGAGGAACCAUGAGUGAUUGGAGACCGAGGUGUUUGGCUAACUUAUUGAUAGCCCUCAACUCUUCAUUGAUGUUGUUGAUUUUUCGUGACAUUUUGCUCUUAAAAGUUGUAUGAGAAAUGAAAUCACUGACCUUUUUCAUUGGGUUCUUUUGGAUCUUCACUUGUCUUUUGAUAGAUUCAUAUCUGAAUUCGUCAAACACAUUUUCAGCAUUUUCAGCAGCUCUCUCAAGCAUCUUGAGCCAUAGUUUCACAGCCUGAUCGUCAACUUGUCGUCUUUCAGCAUCAUGAAUGAAAGCUUGGAUCAAGGAUGCAUUUUGUGUAAGCAUUUCCAGAUCUUUCUUGCAGUCCCUUGAGCUACUGAGUUCCUCAAUAGUAAGAAAAAGCAGUUUUUCAAGCAAAACUUGAACAGUAGCACCAAUUACAGGAUCGGCCAUUGUUGUGUUUUGCUCAAAACUUGAAUUGUAGCACCAAACUUCUUGCACAAAGUCUUGUUCCUCUUCACCAAAGUCUUAUAAAAGUUUUUGCACAAGUCUUGUUUGUGGACCACUAAAAGGAAGACAAUAAUUCAUAGUACACAAUAAAAGUGAAAUGACGAAAAGACCCUCCUACUUUAUAUUGAUUUGUAAACCCAAUCCUCUUAUUUUAUCAGGCAUCACCUAGGCACUCCACUUAUAGUGGUUCAAACACACUACUUUAAAAGUUUAAACCAUUCCGACUCCUCUUGUUCAAAUAGAAGGAAAAGGUUAGAUUUGAGAUUUCUUCUACUAUUGCCCUGUCGUGCACGUGCUUGUCUUUCCCAACACUUUCUUCUUCCAUCAUGGCUCCUACAUUUCCUCUACUCACAGUUCUAUCCCAGAAACUGAUCUGGAGUCAGCAUAUUUACAGCUGUAUUCUAAGUAGUCUGGUUGACAAAUCAAAAUAAGUACAAGGAUCUCCAAUCCAUUUUUUCUUUUAUAAAUAAGCAAUUCGUGUUUGGACUGUGUAAACCAUGUGUAGAUUUCCCUAAUAACGAAACAAAAAUAGAGUGUAAAAAUGUCUCCAAAUUUACUACCUAAAGAUGUUAGUUACUUAACGAAAAAAGAGAUGAUCAAGCAAAUCUUUAAGAUGGUUCUAAUAAGAGGGUUGAAAUUAUUAUCAACUUCUGAACAUCUUUACCUAUGUUUGUGGUUUUAACUAUAAAAGGAAGUUCCAAUGAUCUGGAGGUAACGAAAAACUACAGCCACAUUAGUGGCAUUAUCUUUCUGUAUCAGCACAUUCUUUUCUUUCUUUGCAGUAAAUUGAGUUCACUCUUGAUCACACACCACUUUAGACUCUCUAAAGAGUUCCAUUUUCUCUCAGGCACAUCAAUAGUGUGGAAUGCACACCAACAGGUCAAAACCAAGAGUCCAUAGAAAUGAAUCAACAACAGUGGCUUGAAGCAGAUUUAUUGGAUAUUACUCCUUUCGACCUAUGCCUUUGCUGCUGCAAUUUAAGGCCUUAAACUCGGAAUGAACCAUGUUUUUGUUUUCCACUAGUAUUAUUAUGCAAUGUGGAUCCCUCAUGUCUGUGUAACUUUUUCUUUUUGGUUGAUACUUGGUAUCUGCUUUGUUUUGUGCUAAUUUGGCCAUAGAAUAAUUGAAGCAAUUGAGUAUGAUCGACAGUAGCUAAUUUCUUUCAUUAACAAAAUCUUCAAUUGAAUUGAGUCAUAUUUAGAGUGCAGAAAGCUCAAUUUUGUGUUGAAAUACACACAAAUUAUAGCAAUAGUCUGUCUAAAUCAUAAUAACACUAGUAAAUUACUAUUCAUUAGCAAGAACUUAAAACACUCUUCUUUACGGGACACCCUAAUCCAUAAUUAUUUAUCUACUAAUUAAAAAUACUAUAUAGUUUUUUUUUUCUUUCUGAAACUGCAUCUCUCCUUCUUGUUGCAUCUUUAUCAUCUUCAUCAAUUAUAUCUUCCUAUUGUUCAUGUUUUUAACUACUUGGAGUUCAAAUACAAUCUGUGUGAAAAAACAGAUACUAAAAAUUAUAAAAUCGUAUACAUAAAAUAGUGUUAUUAAAAAAACUUACCAGUAGUGUAAAGAAGGUGAGCAUGUAGUUUUAGAGAUGAGGUGUGAGAAGAAAAAGGAGUGUGAGGCUCCCACUUUAUGUGUUAACUUAGGUACAUGUGGUGUAUUUGUGUUGGUUAUUUAAAGUUAUUUAGAUGUGUCGGUAGAAGGAAUUUAAUGAUGGUCCAACAUUGGAGUAGCUUUCGUCUAUCUUUACUUAUACACUAUACUAUUCUGGAAUGUCCAACAAUACUUAUCCAUUUUAUAAAACCAAUGAAUAAGAUGGAUUGAAAUGGUGCAAUUUCCAUAGAUAAAUUUCAAGACGAAAAGCAGAGCUACAUUAAAGAAGCUAUCAACUAGGCAAGGAUGCAGCAGAUAAGUAUUAAGUUCAAAAUGUUUGCUGGAAACAAAAGAACUCUAUUAGUACGAAAAAGGCAUGUACUCUGUCCGCAAGAAAUUAAAGGCCUCUGCUAUCAAAUCUUAGUCAUACAAGUACAUAAUAUCUCCACUCCAGUUUCCGCCAAAUGCAAUUUUACUUGCCAAUCAAGACACUUGAACACAUCUAAGAGAAGUCUGCUCCAGCCUACCAUCUCAACAAGGUCCAUGCAUGUCGUUGUUUCAACCAAUAAUCUUAAGCAUAAGAAAUGGUAAAAAGUCAGUUUUGGCACACAUUUUGUCUGAUCCUUGCGAAAUGGAGAAGCAACUCGUU
rnacentral:lncRNA from 1 species